CCCGACGGCCCAUGAGAAAAUGAGCUGCGACCGCGUGACCUCAGCACACACAUAGUUCUUUUCUGGAGUAACAUCAUAGCUCGCAAGCAUGGCAGUUGCUCAGUGUUGGGAUGUACAAAUGAUCACAAAAGUCUAUGUUUAGUUCCUUCAUCCGAGCCUGUUUUCUCUGGAAACGCGCCAAACAUUUCGCCGACUUCCUCAACUUGGUCCAAUACAAAGCUGGACUUGCUGAUUGUCUGCGAAAGGAGUCCGGAUCAGUACCAACACUCCUCGGCUCAGCUACAAACCUCGGACAAGCCAGCACAUCAAGUAUUUACAUUCAGCUGCUUCUCUCAAUGGAUGUUGCCUGCCAUACAGACUACCUGGAAACACAUACCAGGAUAGUCGCCACACGACUAUCCUUAAAGACUUUGCUGCCCCAUUUUACAAGCGACGAAUUUAGAGACCGUAGCCCGCAGCGCAGCGGCACCUCAGAGAGUCUGGGUGUGGACGCCCCUGGCUCCUCCCACAUGUCCAGUCACAACAGGGAGCUGCGGAU